rnacentral:rRNA from 1 species
AUGGCCAUACCAUGCUGAAUAUACCGGUUCUCGUUAGAUCACCGAAGUCAAGCAUCAUUGGGCGCGGUCAGUACUUAGAUGGGUGACCACCUGGGAACACCGCGUGCCGUUA